UGUGAACCUAGCCUCUUUCAGUUUGGUGAACAGGUGUGAAGGUUCCCAUUAGAGGAAAUAUGAAUUGCUGUUCUAUGGUGUGAAGUUUGAGGUUCUCUUUACCAGCCUUGCAAUGCACAAAGCACCCUUCCUUCCUCCAUGAAAGAGGCCCAGGUUCCCACAGUGUGCUCAGUCCCUGAAGAAGACCUCAUUUCUCCUUUGAUAGGAUACCUUUUGGCCCACCUCAGAAAGCCGCAACUAGGAUCAGUGCAGGAUCUGGAUUCUGGGUGGUUCUCAAGAUUGAGCCUACAAUAAAGCCCCACUUUUG
rnacentral:lncRNA from 1 species